rnacentral:lncRNA from 1 species
UAUUAUCCUGCACCGGAGAUAUUUCUGCAGAGGUUCCAUCACUACACUCCAGUUCAUCAGUAAAGAUUGUUGCAAUGGAAAGGACGAAUAAUGGUCUUGAUAGUACCUGGUAGCAGAGAGAGUAUUAACCAUCUGCUUCAUGUAUUGAGCUGAAUUUGGGAUAGUAGAAGGAGAAAAAACAGAAACAACUUGACAGAAAAGUAAGGGAGCUUGUUAAUCAAUUCCGUUCUCCACUACUUAACCUUUACAGGAAAAGGGUCUAGGAAAUAUCAUAUUGUAUAUCUUAUAAUAGCCAAAUAUGAAAUAAUACUGUAAGAAGAAGAAUCUCACUGGUCAAGGGAAUGUCACAAAUUCAAUAAAAAUGUAUGAUACAUAGAAGUAACCCACAUAAAACUUUCUGGAACAAAGAUUGACUAGAAGUACACAAAUACCAAUGAUAUAGCCAUUUUCUGGAAGUACACAAAUAACAAAGAUUGACUAGAAGUACACAAAUACUGAUGGUUAUCCUGACAUAACAUUUUUCUGCUUUGAAAUGUCCUGCUAUAUAAACAUAAAUAUGUAUUGAAACCAUAUUGAAUUGAUAAUCACAAACCUGCAUGCUUUUGACCAAACCCCUGAAGGCAACCCACCUCUGAAUCCAUUUAAAUUGUGGUAGGACAAGGAUUUGUAGACUCUGCAGACCUUGCCACACACAUGGGCAUCUACUAUUGGAGAACCUCCUUACAGUCUAUAAAGCAGCAACUUUAAGUAAAAAAAAAUUGGCAUGCCCCACAGCCUUGCUUCCAAAGUCACCAUCCCUCAAUGAAACAAGGGGUUCACAAUAUCUUUGUGCAAAGCCUAUAGGACGUGAUGCACUCAUACAUACCAGAUCGAUAUUAUAAGAAAUAGUUUAUACUCCAAAGAGUUCGUUUCUUUGUACUUUGUUCCUUAGAAUUCCUUUGAAACUCUUAUUAUAGUAGACUAAUCAAACACAAAGAAUUCACUCUACGGUCAUUGAGGCAUCCAUGAUCCAUCCGUAACAAAAUUUAAUCGAACUUAGGGACUAAGGGUCAUCAAAGCAGAAUAUAUACCCAUUCAUGCAUUAUUAUGAAUAAAAAUUCAUAAUUUUUUUAAUCGAAAAGCGGACAACGAUAGAGACAAUUGCUUGAGUAGCAAUUAAGGCAACAACUAUCUUUCACAUUCAGGGACUAGGGUCAUUAAGACCAUCGACAAUUCACUCUAUGGUCAUUGAGGCAUCCAUGAUCCAUCCGUAACAAAAUUUAAUCGAACUUAGGGACUAAGGGUCAUCAAAGCAGAAUAUAUACUCAUUCAUGCAUUAUUAUGAAUAAAAAUUCAUAAUUUUUUUAAUCGAAAAGCGGACAACGAUAGAAACAAUUGCUAGCAAUUAAGGCAACAACUACCUUUCACAUUCAGGGACUAAGGGUCAUUAAAUCCAUCCAACAUUUAAGAUUCUUUUGGGACAAAACAGAACACCUUUUGCAGAAUUAAGGUUGUUUUGUUUUUCUCAAGCAGAAGAUUGAAUGUUCUUGAAUGAUCAAGAAUGAGAAAAAUGGGUAAAGUUGUACCUCUUUUUCGAGCAAAAUCACUUCUGAUUGCAGUCGCAGAAUCGAAUUUAGGGACUAAGGGUCAUCAAAGCAGAAUAUAUACCCGUUCAUGCAUUAUUACGAAUAAAAAUUCAUAAUUUUUUAAUCGAAAAGCGGACACCGAUAGAGACAAUUGCUUGAGUAGCAAUUAAGGCAACAACUACCUUUCACAUUCAGGGACUAAGGGUCAUUAAAUCCAUCCAACAUUUUACUCUGUUAAUUGAGGCAUCUAUGAUCUAUCCGUUACAAAAUUUACAAAACAAAGUAUAUUCAUCGAUUCCAACCGUCAAAUUUAGGGUCACUAGGGCAAUAUACUCCACCCUUUUUUCAGAUAAUGAAUAAAGAUUCCGUCACACAAUGAUUCACAUUCUUAUAGGGUUUUUAUACCCUUUAAAAUUGGAAACCCACCAUCGUUCCUAACAAGUAUCGAUUAUAAACCGAGUUAAACUCAGCUUAAUGUGACAAACAAAAAACUGUCUUUUAAGAUUCUUUUGGGACAGAACAGAACACCUUUUGCAGAAUUAGGGUUCUUUUGUUUUUCUCAAGCAGAAGAUUGAAUGAUCAAGAAUGAGAAUAAAUUGGGUAAAGUUUGUACCUUUUUUCAAGCAUAAAAUUGAAUGUUCAAACAGAAAGAACACCUUUGAUCAAUUAACGUUCUUUUGGCCAUUUUGCCAUGGCUGACCAAGCUCCUCUUCAACUAGAGCCAUAGCCACAUCAUCUGCAAAUGAAGGAACCUUCACAUUUUAUGGAAUCCCCCCACACCCCCACCAAGAAAAAGGAACCUCAGAAAAAGAAUAAGCUUACAAUAUCAGAAAUGAAAAUGCAAUUGUGCAACUGCUAAUAAUUUCCAGUGUUUACUAAAACAUCAGACUACAAUUCUUGUAAGUAGGAAGAAUAAUGGUCUUGAUAGUACGUGGUAGCAGAGAGAGUAUUAAUUCUGGGAUGCAAAUAUAUUGAAAUGAAAGUUUCAAAAUUUACAGUAACAAACAAAAGGGUCAUGGGACAGAAAGAACACCUUUGCUCAAUUAACGUUCUUUUGUUUUGUUUUUAUGAAGCAAAAUCGAAUUAAGGGACUAAGGGUCAUCAAAGUAUAAUAUAUACCCAUUCAUUCAUGCAUUAUUAUGAAUAAAAAUUCUUAAUUUUUUCAAUCGAAAAGCGGACUCCGAUAGAGACAAUUGCUCGAGUAGCAAUUAAGGCAACAACUACCUUUCACAUUGAGGGACUAGGGUCAUUAAGACCAUCCAACAUUUCACUCUAUGGUCAUUGAGGCAGCCAUGAUCCAUCCGUUACAAAACUUACAAAACAAAGUAUAUUCAUCGAUUCCAACGAUCAAAUUUAGGGUCACUAGGGCAAUAUACUCCACCCCUUUUUUAGAUAAUGAAAAAGAUUCCGUCACACAAUGAUUCACAUUCUUAUAGGGUUUUUAUACCCUUUAAAAUUGGAAACCCGCCAUCAUUCCCAACAUGUAUCGAUUAUAAACCAGAUGGGGCAAAUAUGUUAGAAUGAAAAUUCCAAAAACAAGUGAAACUCAGCUUAUUGUGACAAACAAAAAACUGUCUUUUGAUAUAUACCCAUUCAUGCAGUUGCAGAAUCAAAUUUAGGGACUAAGGGUCAUCAAAGCAGAAUAUAUACCCAUUCAUGCAAUAUUACGAAUAAAAAUUCAUAAUUUUUUUUAAUCGAAAAGCGGACACCGAUAGAGACAAUUGCUUAUAUAGCAAUUAAGGCAACAACUACCUUUCACAUUCAGGGACUAAGGGUCAUUAAAUCCAUCCAACAUUUUACUCUAUGUUAAUUGAGGCAUCUAUGAUCCAACCGUCAAAUUUAGGGUCACUAGGGUAAUAUACUCCACCCCUUUUUCAGAUAAUGAAUAAAGAUUCCGUCACACAAUGAUUCACAUUCUUAUACGCCCUUUAAAAUUGGAAACCCACCAUCGUUCUCAACAUGUAUCGAUCAUAAAUCAGAAUGAAAAUUCCAAUAACAAGUAAAACUCAGCUUAUUGUGACAAACAAAAAACUGUCUUUUAAGAUUUUUUUGGGACAGAACAGAACACCUUUUGCAGAAUUAGGGUUCUUUUGUUUUUCUCAAGAAUGAGAAAAAAAAUGGGUAAAGUUUGUACCUUUUUUCAAGCAUAAAAUUGAAUGUUCAAACAGAAAGAACAAUUAAGGUUUCUUUUGUUUUGUUUUUAUGAAGCAGAAGAUUGAAUUUCGAAAAUGGGUAUCUGAAUGAAUCAACAUGUGGGGAGAAAGUUGAAAAAAUUACCGUAGCAAACAGAAGAGAUUAUCAGCAAAUUACCAUCGCAGGUUCUUGAAUCCUUGUGCGACACACCCAACACCAUUGAAUUCCACGUUGUGUGUUGUUCGUGUUUUCAUUCUUUUCUUGUUUCUUGAAGAAGAAAGAAAGAAUGAGUUUUU